CCAGGCCUACAGCCCGUCUCUAUAGUGGCGAUCACCUCCCGAAGACACAUACUCCCUCAGGCUGGCAUCCCCUUGAUGGCUAAGGCUGUGGAAGUUUCCUGCAAGGUGCUACACCCUGCCUGGCCGGGGGACACGAAGCCGGGCGGCAAGAAAAGAAACAGCAAAAGCAGAGAUAGCAGGGCGGUGGCAUCAGAGCCCUUCCAGCAGCAGUACAGAGCUGGGUGUCUAACUGGAGGACCCAGGAAGCAGCUCAGCAAAAGCUAGGAGGCUGGCUUUUCUUCAAGGAGGAAAAUAGGAGCUGCCCAAAUCUAGAAAAUAUUUGGACCCAGCACGCAAAAAGCAAGAGAAAAUGAAAAUUUAACGUUAGUUCAGAAAUACAUUUGAAUAAAUACUCCAAGCAUUUUUUUUAUGGUAAGACAGAGUAAAUAAAAUUGAAAAUAAGCCAAGCUAAAAAAUCAUCAUGUCAAUAAAAUACGCUUUUUUCAAGAACAACUCUAAACCUAUUUUGGGUUUUGUUUUUUUUCCCCAAACUGUUUGACACAAUAAGAGUAUUAGUAUUGCUCUAGCUUUUGACUAAAUUAAAUGCCAUCUGUGCAGAGUCACAGCGGACAUG